GGGAGGGUCAUUGGAAACUGGGAACUUGAGUGCAGAAGAGGAGAGUGGAAUUCCACGUGUAGCGGUGAAAUGCGUAGAGAUGUGGAGGAACACCAGUGGCGAAGGCGACUCUCUGGUCUGUAACUGACGCUGAGGAGCGAAAGCGUGGGGAGCGAACAGGAUUAGAUACCCUGGUAGUCCACGCCGUAAACGAUGAGUGCUAAGUGUUAGGGGGUUUCCGCCCCUUAGUGCUGCAGCUAACGCAUUAAGCACUCCGCCUGGGGAGUACGGUCGCAAGACUGAAACUCAAAGGAAUUGACGGGGGCCCGCACAAGCGGUGGAGCAUGUGGUUUAAUUCGAAGCAACGCGAAGAACCUUACCAGGUCUUGACAUCCUCUGACAAUCCUAGAGAUAGGACGUCCCCUUCGGGGGCAGAGUGACAGGUGGGUCAUCUGCCUCGUCAACUGGUGUCGUGAGA
rnacentral:rRNA from 1 species